AGCUGAGUAGACUCAAUUGGUAGAGCGGUACACCAGAAAUGGCAGUAUCGGUUGCUGGUUCAAGUCCAGCCUCAGCGA
rnacentral:tRNA from 1 species